UACGUAGGGUGCAAGCGUUGUCCGGAAUUAUUGGGCGUAAAGAGCUCGUAGGCGGUCUGUCGCGUCGGAUGUGAAAACCCAGGGCUCAACCCUGGGCCUGCAUUCGAUACGGGCAGACUAGAGUUCGGUAGGGGAGACUGGAAUUCCUGGUGUAGCGGUGAAAUGCGCAGAUAUCAGGAGGAACACCGGUGGCGAAGGCGGGUCUCUGGGCCGUAACUGACGCUGAGACACGAAAGCGUGGGUAGCAAACAGG
rnacentral:rRNA from 1 species